CCGGAACUCCUCACUGAGCUAAGUAGGGUGAUGAGGAGUUUUAAGUGAGCUUUUCGUGUUCUAGUGCAUACCCAGAUGGUCUAACAGUUUGACUCUGGAGGCAGCGGUGGUAAUGACAGAGUCCAAGUCUCUUCGUUCCCUGUGUUCCUGGAUUAUUCUCGUGGUGAUGUGAUCCUGCACUCAGAAGUUUGGACAGUGGCCUCCUGUUUCCCCAGCUUUCUGACUGGCAGAUGAAGGAAGGAAGGAGAAGAGCUGGGACAUCGGAGAAUGAACAAAGGGGAUGAGAGACAGCUGGGAAGUGUGGAGAAACAGAAGGACAAAGGGUCAGAGAGAAGGAUGCAGCAUUCAUCUCCAGCAGUGACCCCCUGAGCAGUGAGAAGAAAAUCAGAAGAGCCAUGGCAGAAGGCCACUCAGUUGGCAUGGACUUCAUCUUUCCCCACCUCUUACCUGCCUGAUGCUUAAGAGAGCCUUCCCCUGG
rnacentral:lncRNA from 1 species